rnacentral:rRNA from 1 species
UGGGGAAUAUUGCACAAUGGGCGCAAGCCUGAUGCAGCCAUGCCGCGUGUAUGAAGAAGGCCUUCGGGUUGUAAAGUACUUUCAGUCGGGAGGAAGGUGGUAAGGUUAAUAACCUUAUCAAUUGACGUUACCGACAGAAGAAGCACCGGCUAACUCCGUGCCAGCAGCCGCGGUAAUACGGAGGGUGCAAGCGUUAAUCGGAAUUACUGGGCGUAAAGCGCACGCAGGCGGUUUGUUAAGUCAGAUGUGAAAUCCCCGGGCUCAACCUGGGAACUGCAUCUGAUACUGGCAAGCUUGAGUCUCGUAGAGGGGGGUAGAAUUCCAGGUGUAGCGGUGAAAUGCGUAGAGAUCUGGAAGAAUACCGGUGGCGAAGGCGGCCCCCUGGACGAAGACUGACGCUCAGGUGCGAAAGCGUGGGGAGCAAACAGG